CAACCUUCUGUGGUAAGGGGUGAACAUCCUUGGGAAGCCACAGAGAGCAAGGCGCAGUUUUUCAUUGAUCACCACUUUCAAGAUGCUCCCAGAAUCGUGCUGUCUAGGAAGCCAUUUAAACUGGUGAGAAGCCAUCCUCUCUUGAAUGGGGGCUCCCACUGUACAUCUGGCACCCACUUCACAGAUUCUGGGGGAUGUCAACACCAGCACUGCUGAGCUGUGUGACCUUGAGCAAGACAGUUAGCCUCUCUGAACCUCAGUGUCCUUCUCUGUAGGCUGGAGAUUGAUAUACCUUCAUUAUCGGGGUAUGAGAGUGUUAUAAGGUGGGAUGGUGGAACACGCUGACUGGUCUGGGCUAUUCAAGAUCCAUGAACUGGAAGAUGCUUUCUUAUAACUCAGAGAAAAGAGAUGAAAAUGAAUCAAAGAACAGGAAGGAGACAAGCUCAGGAGAGUCACCCUAAGAAGGAUGUGUGGAAGACUUGACUGGAGGAUCAAAAUGUGUCGGGGGAAGGUGUACAAGGAGGAGUAAGGACACAGAUGUCCUGACUUCACACAGUGGGGGAUUAGAAGCCACCAUCAAACACAGAUGAAACAGGAAUAAAAGUAGUAGUACAUUACUUAAGCUUUAAAAGGGUAAGACUCCUGGGAAUUUGGAAGCUGAGACUUGAGGCAAGUAUUUAGGAUUUGCUGUCUCACCUCCCUGCUAUGACAGUCCUUAAUUAAUGGAGAUGAUGGAGAACAGCUUGCUGGGCUGAGUGGCAGGAGCCAUGCAGCUGCUGGGGCUGGAGUGGGUCAGGAAGCUUCAUCAAUCUGGGACACAUGACGUGCUUGGUGGUGGCGGAGCCUGACGCAUCCCUCUUCAUCGACAUUGUGUCAAUAGGAGCAGAGGCAUUUAGCUGUGUAAACACAGAGCUUCAGUGGCAGCACCCUAAAUGCUUAGCUGAUAGAUCCGGAAUUAAAUACAGACCUAGAAACUGGAGUUGGAAAACUUCCUGGCAGCACUCCUUCCCUGCCAUCCCGGUGAUCCCCUUCUGGAUGGAGGGUGUGGAGCUCAGCACAUUCACGUCUGCAGUUCUCAGAGAACCAAGUGUUAAGGAAUGUCAGGGAAGGAAGAAGGCAGCCAGCCAGGAAGGGGAGGUCCUGGCCUGAGCACGCCAGGCACAGAGGGAUAGAGGGUAGGGAGGAAACUGCACCUGUCUCCAACCCUCGACCCCAGCCCCGAAACACGACAUUGGCUGAAACAGAUUAAAAGCAUAAAAUGGCCCAAAGAAAUGGGAGAAGGUUGGCCUCUGGUCGGGCAAACAUGAGGGCAUGAAGAUAUAUAAUGUCCCACACGGGAGGAAACCCUUGCCGGGCCCCUCAGGAUUUAUAACAAGCUCACCUGAAGGAGAAACUUCAGGGGCACUUACACCAUCAGAUACCUAGAAAGGAGCUGUCAUUUCCUCACUGAAGAGUUUGCAAGCAGAUGGUAAAAGGGGUUUAAUUUGAAAACACUGAAACAUCGUGUUCGCUCAAAACCAUGACAAUUGCAGUUUUAUUGUCUCCACUCAGGAAAAUGUGUGUCUGGAUCAUCUUGUGGCCCGAAUGGGGAGAAAAGCACAAGAAUGGAAUAGUACAGUGGCUACGAACACAGAAACCACACUCCAGGCCCAGUCCCCGGCAGUGGCCUCCAGGACCCACUCUGAGCUAGAUCACAUCAGUGAUGGGCUGGCCAAUCUUUAAGGAGAAUGACUCUACUCUUAGGAAGCCAGCAGGUUGGAGGAGGAAACACAUUCAAAUCCCGAGCACAAGGAGCUGGGAGAAGACCGGUUAUGGGAGCGGCAUUCCUGGAAGCUCUGAAGUCACAGCCCCACUGAUGAAAGGAUGUAAGAACCUAAGAGUGGAAACCUGCCCCUGGGAUUCAUAUGGUGUCCCCUCAGGACUCAAACCCUGGUCUGGUAUGCUCAGUAAAUGAAUGAAUAUACCCACUACACCCCAGGUUAUUUUUUUUCUGAAGACAUCGUUUGACACAGAGGGAACACUGUAGAUAAGAAGCCCAACCCUGUUAGAAAGCAGAAGGGUUUGUUUGGGAAAAGGAAACAAAAUAUAUUUUUAAGCUCCAUAAACAUAUGAUGAAUGCUAACAAGGUAUUUUCAAAAUAAGAAGCACAUAGAAACAGCUUAUGUUUCUGGUCAAAUGAAGUUGUAAUCAAAUCGUUAUCAAAGCAAAAAAAAAGAGAGGAAGAAAUCAAAAUGAGUCAGAAGAGUUUUUGGAAAGAUUCAGCAACUUAACUGACUUGAAGAGAUUUCCCUUGUCUCAGUCUUACUGCUGCUUCUAGGGGAACACAGUUUUGCACGGGAAUCGAGGCCAACUUGCAACCCACAGGCACUCUGGAGGAACAAAGAAAGUAUCGCCUGCAACUCACCACGGUCUCUCUCUCUUAAGCCCUUGCUCUUGCCAGAAGAAGUUUCACACAAAGGUUUGCCUGCGAGGCUGCGCUUUCCUCUCCAGAUCAGCAGAAACAACUUACCAGCAGAAAUACUUAAUGACGGAGCCAAGACUGGCACAGCCACGCGGUCACAGCUUUGUUCCCAAGAAGCAAGCCAAUUAGCAGCCCUGGUUAUUAUUUACAUUUCCCGCAAUAUAUCACUAAAAUUGUGUUGAUGAUUUAUCAUUUAUAUUAUGUUAUUGUCAGCAUAAUUUAUUCAGAUCAUGCUGAGAUACCUGGAAAAUUAAGUAAAAGAAAAAGAAGUGGCAUUGAAUUCAUCGGGUUUGAAAGAUAUUUCUCAGCUUCUUUUUUCUCUCCCUCUCUUUCUCUCUCUCUCUCUCUUUUAAUGAGGAUAGAUGUUAAGAAAAAUCAUGGAUCACUUAGCUAUUAAAUUGUUCCAGGAUCAUCUGCAUUAAAAGUUUGCUCAGUAUUCUUUUGUGAGAGAACAUGGCUUGGGCGUUCAUUUGGAUUUUCUUCUGGAACCUUUUCUUUCAGUCUAUUAUUUCAAAGUAAAAAAAAAAGGAAAUGCAAUCCUCUUUAGUUUAGAGCAAAGCAGAGUGGAUUAAUGAGGGGCUGGAGGCUUCUCUUCCAAUUUAUAAAACAUCCUUAUCUUCUGCCUUAUAUUCUAUUUGCCCCACCCUCUGGGAAAUAAUUGUUGCUUAUCAGAAUUAGAGAUAAAAUAUUCCAGUUGUUGAAGCCAUUCAUCAUCUAGGCAUUCUAGAAAAGCAGUUACUGAACUAGAGGCAGCAUUUUGAGCAUCAGAGCUCUGGGUUCUAGUCCCAGGUCUGUCCAGGCUUUGUGUGAUUCCAGGAGUCACUGAAGCUAUCCUGCUUCUGUUUCCCCAGCAGUGGGAUUCAUGGAUGUCCAGGAUCAGGCUUGCUGGGUCUGCCCCAGGUCUUCAGAAUCAGACUGCCUGGGGAAGGCACAUGGAGGUCUUUUUGACAGGUGUCAUAGGUGAUACUUCUACACACUUCAGUUAGAAAAGUCAUUGGGCUUACAUAUGCCUGCAGCCACUUCCAGCUCCAGUCUUCCUAGAGUUCUACGGACUCUAAUUAUAUGGCAUGUUUUGCAUAUUUCUGAAACUUCAUAUGGGAAACAAACUUUUGGAAAUUGAUUCAUUUAAGAAUCUGUGGCCAGGCGUGGUGGCUCACGACUGUAAUCCCAGCACUUUGGGAGGCUGAGGCGGGUGCAUUGCCUGAGGUCAGGAGUUCAAGACCAGCCUGACCAACAUGGUGAAACCCUGUCUCCGCUAAAAAUACAAAAAAUAGCCGGGCAUGGUGGCGCACACCUGUAAUCCCAGCUACUCCAGAGGCUGAGGCAGGAGAAUUGCUUGAGACCAGGAAGCGGAGGUUGCAGUGAGCACUGCACUCCAGCCUGGGCAGCAAAAGCGGAACUCUCUCUCAAAGAAGAAAAGAAUAUGUAUGGGAUCUUGUUAUUGAAGAGAAGUCCGAAAUAAAUUAUUCAUGGUGUGAAUCCUUUGUAAUAUGAGUGCCUUGUCCACUUGCCACUGAUCGACUAGUACUGGAUUUUCCUCCAGUGAGGUCCAUGUGAAUCUCCCAGCACACCUGGCAGGGGUGCUCAAGGAGAAGGGUGAUUCUCACAAAGUGGCCGUUUUGGUUUCCCGAUAACGGAUCUGGUGACUUGCACCCAGCGCAGACCUAUGGAUGGCAGAGAUGAUGGUCUGAUGUCUUAAGGCAGAGUCCUGGGGUCCCCGUGCUAUCCCUUGGAUAAGGAUAUUUGCUUCUCUGAACCUCCCAGAAUUCCAGGUCCAGGUCAGACCAUCUUUCUGGGAAGUUAUAUAAGGAAUUGUCAUAAGUGACAGGAACAAUAGCAUUAUUAGCACUUGCUGGAAUAUUCAUAUAAAGAUGGUACCUUUUCAUCAGAGAUGUUACGGGACAUGUGGCAUUACCCUUGGGAGGUGGAUCCACUUUCUGUACCAUAAACCCCAGGUGGUCUGCAUGCAGGAAGUGUUUGCCGCUUCCUGUGUAAUUUUUGUGAUGGCAUAGUAGGUAUAUAUAUUAAUGGGUUACUUGAGAUAUUUUGAUACAGGCAUGCAAUGUGUUAAUAACCACAUCAGGGUAAAUGGGGUAUCCAUCACCUCAACUAUUUAUCCUUUUUGUUGUAAACAAUCCAAUUAUACUCUUUUAGUUAUUUUAAAAUGUACAAUUAAAUUAUUUUUGACUAUAGUCUCCCUGUUGUGCUAUGAAAUAGUAGGUCUUAUUCAUUCUUUCUAUUUUUUUUGUAUGUAUUAACCAUCCCCACCUCCCCCAACAACCCUCACUCUCUUUCCCAGCCUCUGGUAACAAUUCUUCUACUCUCUAUUUCCAUUAGUUCAAUUGUUUUGACUUUUAGAUCCCACAAGUAAGUGAUAAGAUGCAAUGUUUAUCUUUCUGUGUCUGGCUUGUUUCACUUAACAUAGUGAUCUCCAGUUCUAUCCAUGUUGUUGCAAAUGACAGGAUCUCAUUUUCUUUUUUUUUAAUGGCUGAAUAGUACUCUAUAGUGUAUAUGUACCACAUUUUCUUUAUCCAUUCAUCUAUUGAUAGACAUUUAAGUUAUUUCCAAAUCUUGGCUAUUGUAAAUGCUGCUGCAACAGAGAUGGCAGACAUCUCUUUGAUAUACUGAUUUCCUUUCUUUUGGAUACAUAGCAGUGGGGUUGCUGGAUCAUAUGAUAGCUCUAUUUUUAGAUUUUUGAGGAACCUCCAAACUCUUCUCCAUAGUAUUUGUACUAAUUUGCAUUAGAGUGUAUAAGGGUUCCCCCUUUCUCCACAUCUUCACAAGCAUUUGUUAUUGCCUGUCAUUUGGAUGAAAGCCAUUUUAACGGGGGUGAGAUGAUAUCUCAUUGUAGUUUUGAUUUGCAUUUCUCUGAUAAUGAAUGAGGUUGAGCACUUUUUCACAUACCAGUUUGCCAUUUGUAUGUACUUUUGCCCAUUUUUGAUCAGAUUAUUAGAUUUUUCUCUCGUAGAGUUGUUUGAGUUCCUUGUAUGUUCUGGUUAUUAAUCCCUCAUUAGAUAGGUAGUUUGCAAAUACUUUCUUCCAUUCCGUGAGUUGUCUCUUCACUUUGUUGAUUGUUACCUUUGCUGUGCGGAAGCUUUUUAACUUGAUGUGAUCCCAUUUGUCCAUUUUUGCUUUGGUUGCCUGUGUUUGUGGCUUAUUAGUACUCUCAAGUACUCUCAAGAAAUUUUUGCCCAGACCAAUGUCCUGAAGAGUGUCUCCAAUGUUUAAUUUAAGUGUUUAACCAAUUUUGAGUUGAUUUUUUUAUGUGGCAGGAGAUAGGGGUCUAGUUUCAUUCUUCUGCAUACAGAUCCCCAGUUUUCCCUGCACUAUUUAUUGAAGAGACUGAGUCUCCCCAGUGUAUGUUUUUGACAUCUUGUGGAGAAUAAGUUAACUCUAGGCAUGUGGAUUUGUUUGUUUCUUGGUUCUUUGUUCUGUUCUAUUAGUCUAUGUGUCUGUUUUUAUGUCAGUACCAUGCUGUUUUGGUUACUAUAACUCUGUAGUAUAAUUUGAAAUCAGGUGGGGGUCACAUUUCAGCAUGAGAUUUGAAGGGGACAAAACAUCCAAACUAUAUCACAGUCCAUGUUGCAAGGGUUUGGCAAAUGCUUGCUGAUUGUCUGUAACUCUGCUUCCGCUUACCCCAGCUGCUGCUCAUUAGCUAUGCCCAAGGCAUGGAUAACUGAAAGAGGGUCAUAAUUACUACCAUGGGAAAUCCUGCCUGUACGUAGAGAAUACAUUUUGUUUUCACUGCUUAUCCCAAUUUUUCUCCCUUUUCUCAUAUAAUCUGUUCCAUCAUUCCCCCACUCUCUCUGCUGCAUUCAAAUGGUCUUGGGUGAUUAGCUAUGAUUCCAAUGAUCUCCUGGCACCAUUGUUAAGUUCAGUGGUGGAUACUCAACAAUUAUAAUUUUUUGGAUUUGGGAUCCAGAGAGACUUUCUUUUCAGCAGUAGAAUCUUGGGAGUGUUUGGCUGCCAUGGUGCCCUCACCUUGGUGCCCUCACCAUGGUGCUCUCACCUUGGCAGAGAGAGGGAGGGGGAAGAAGUGGUAAGAGAGUGUGAGAGCCCUGAAUGCUUUGCCUCCUAGGGCUCCUGUGAUCCAGCCCACUGCUCUGUUUGGCUCUAUGGGGCACCUGGAGGAUGUUCUUGAUAAAUCCACUUACCCUAAACCACCUUGAAAUUGGUUUCUGACAUUUGCAACCAAGACUCAGAAAUUUCUGGACUAAAAAACAAAUAAGCCCCUUAAAAAAUGAAUGAAAGACAUAAACAGACAUGUUCCAAAAGAAGACAUAUAAGCAGCCAACAAGCAUAUGAUAUAAUGCAUCACUAAUCAUCAGAGAAAUGCAAAUCAAAACCAUAGUGAGAUGCCAUCUCACACCAGUCAGAAUGGCUAUUAUCAAAAAGUCAAAAAACAUCAGAUGUUGGUGAGGUUGCAGAGAAUGCUUAUACAUUUUUGGUGGGAAUGUAGAUUAGUUCAACCACUGUGGAAAGCAGUUUUGUGAUUUCUCAAGAACUUAGAACAGAACUACCAUUCAACCCAGGAAUCUCAAUGCUGGGUAUAUAUCCAAAAGAAAACAAAUCAUUGUACCAAAAAGACACAUGCACAUGUAUGUUCAUCCCCACAUUAUUCACAACAGCAAAGACAUGAAAUCCACCUAGGUGGCCAUCAAUGGUGGACUCGAUUAAGAAAAUGUGGUACAUGUACACAAUGGAAUACUAUGCAGCCAUUAAAAAGCAAAAUCAUGUCCUUUACAGCAACUUGGAUGGAGCUGGAGGCCAGAAUCCUACGCUAAUUAAUGCAGGAACAGAAAAAAUACCAUGUGUUCUCACUUACAAGUGGGAGCUAAGGAUUGAGCAUACAUGGACAUAAACAUAGGGACAAUAGAUGCUGGGGACUACUAGAGGGGAGAGGGAGGAGGGGGUGUGGGUUAAAAAACUACCCACUGGGUACUAUGCUCACUACCUGGGGGCAAUAUACCCAUGUAACAAACCUGCAUAUGUAAAAUAAAACUUUAAAAAUGCAUGAACUUUUCCAGUUAGUAAGCAUCUUUUCUUUUUCCUAAUUCUCCCAAUUUUAGUAGAACCAUCUGAAUAGAUUUGAGUACCUUAUGUUGCUAGAUAUGAGAAGUGUGCCAUUUAUCCCUUUAUGUUAAGAAAAGAGGACCAUGUAAUGCGUAAAAUUCUUUAUUAUGUUAUGGUUUUAGUUGAAUGAUAAGUGUCAUAAUCUUGUCUAAACUAGUCCCAUAACUCUUUUUUAUCUCCUAGGCUGGGUGUAUUUAUUUUCUUUUGCUCUCAAAAUUAUUUUGGAAUUAUGACUUACCAUUAAUACUUGAAAAGUGAUCAAAUAGAGGAAAGCAUUCUAAAGGUGGAGAAAGAGAUGUGCAGCUAACAGGAGACAUUUAUGCGUUAUUUCACCAGCCCACAAGUUCAAGUUCUAGGAGUUGAAAUGGCAAAGGCCUGAGGACUUUCAGCAUUUUGUCAACACUGACCAAGCGAACAGGGUGCUGUUCACAAUCCAAGUUCGCAAUCCAAGUGCAUGCUGUCUUUGGAUUAAAUGGUUUAUGCAGAUUGGUCUUGGUUCUUCUGUACGUUCUGUAUUGGGGAGGGAUGAUGAGUGGAUGGACAUCUUGCAGAUAAGACCCCUUGCCCAGUAUACUGUGGGGUUCACUGUAGUUGUGGAGGAAGACCUUUCAGUUUGGGGGCAGAGCACAAUUUUUGUGUCCCUUUACUCAAAAUGCUAACUCAGUCUGAUCUCUGGUAGGUGUCCUGAAUUGUCUUUAAAAAGUGAUCGAGAUUAUAUUUUCAAUUUUGAAUAUACUGCUGAACCCCUGACAUGCAGAGCAAUCUAUCUGGACUGAAAACUUGGCCAGGGAUGGUCUAUGCCAAGCAGUGAAGGCUGUGAAGAGAUGCUUGGGAAGGGUACAAGAAGGAAGGAAAGGAGCCCCCUGGGACAAUGAAGGAAGAUGCUGUGGUUGGCCCCGGGGCUCAGAAAACAGGCAGGUGAAGGAGUGGAAAAUGAUCACUUUGAUCCAAGGAACCACCUGCCCCACUACAAGUGAACACCAGCUGACCCAGUGCUGACCGUGUUUAUCUUCUGCCUCAGUUUUCCUCAAAUGUACAUGCAAAAGAUAUUAGAUGGCUUCCACAAAGGCUCUAUGCAUAUGAGAAUCCCUGUUCACAAACACAAAGCCCUGUUGACAAGAAGACAAUGAGCCUCGUGAGUACAUCGGCCAGAUCCUGGGAGAUUUGUUCUGUAUGCACUCCAGGAUCUGAAUCUGCUCUCAAAAUCACUAGCUCCAAUCUAUGAAAGAAAAAUGCCCCACAGAACACACUGCCUCUUAAUAAGUUAGUCUUUCCAACUCAUAGACUUUUCCUCCUUUAAAUUAGCACGACGGUUUUCAAAGCAAAAUUUUCAGCCACCUAAGAAUCCCUCCUCAUCUUUAUAAACAUAAAGUGAAAUAACUGACAAAUGUUCAUGCCAUAGCUCCCCUCUACAUAAACACACACAGGCACACAUGCAUGCACAGAUGUGGUUAGUGGUUCUAACUUGGUCAGGUUAGAACAAAGGCAACAGACGUCCCCCUGUCACCAUGCAGGCACCCAGGGCUGUGCCUGCCCAUCAGCCCCGAUAGCAGCAAUUACACAGUCCGUGGGUGUGAUGAGCUGCAAACUAAACAUUUGUAAAAAGGCUGUUAUUAAUGCAAUUAGCUAUUUACACGAUAGCCCAUAAUGAAUCCAAAGGCAUCGUUAUUGACUAUUGAGUAAAUAAUCUGACAUUAAAAAGUCAAUGAUCUGCAAAUGAAAAAUUCUCUCUCUCUUUUUUUAAAGGAGGAAAGAUGAAAGAAAGAAAAUUAAGGAAAAGAGGAAAACAAGCAAAAAACUCAGCAAAGAUGUCAUUGCAUAAUAGUCCAUUAUGCCUCCAAUUGAGCCGUCAUGAACUAUCAAAGAAAUAAUUGCGCAAUAAGCCCAUAAUGGCUUAAUCGUGUCAACAUCUUUGCA
rnacentral:lncRNA from 10 species